CGGGUGAGUAACGCGUGAGGAACCUGCCUCAAAGAGGGGACAACAGUUGGAAACGACUGCUAAUACCGCAUAAGCCCACGGCUCGGCAUCGAGCAGAGGGAAAAGGAGCAAUCCGCUUUGAGAUGGCCUCGCGUCCGAUUAGCUAGUUGGUGAGGUAAUGGCCCACCAAGGCAACGAUCGGUAGCCGGACUGAGAGGUUGAACGGCCACAUUGGGACUGAGACACGGCCCAG
rnacentral:rRNA from 1 species